GAAGCGCGAGUCCGGGAGACGCGCUGGCGGUGACGCACUUCCGGCGCGCCUCCUGCCAUGCCCUUGCGGUCCAGCACCAGCCGCUCACUGCGGGAGCCCCUGCCCUUCAUUGUGAGGGAGCCCAGGUGAUGGCAGCCAUGGCCCUGAAUGCCUGUUACCAGGGGCAAAAACUCCUAAACCCUCAGGCCCAGAAGAUAUCAGGCAGGGAUGGAGGGAGAAGUCUGAGGAUACCCAGUUUGCAGACUUGCCUUGACCUCACUUCUGGAAGGAGGGGAUUUGCCUUGGGGCCUGGAGCCACAGGACGAUCUACCUGCAGGGAAUACCAGUGAUGUCUCUAAAGAUGCUGAGACCAACAUUGACAGUGAGUCCACAUCAACUCAGGGAAUUUCUGAAGAAAGAGAUGUGAUGAUAUCACAUGGGCUGCCACAGAGUGUUUCUCAGGAAAGUGACUUUCCAGAAACAUGUGAACUGGAGAAACACCAGGAAAUCCCCACAGUGAAAAAUAUUAAAAGAAAGGAUGAGAGAAUCCUCUGUGCAAGGAAACCCUUCAGAUGUGAGGAAUGUGGGAGAUGCUUCAGCUUUUUUUCUUACUAUGUUAGACACCAGAGAAUCCACACUGGGGAGAAACCCUACCCAUGUGAGGAGUGUGGGAAAUCCUUUAAUGGCAAUUCUUCAUUAAUUCGGCACCAGAGAAUCCACACUGGAGAGAAACCCUACCAGUGUGAGGAAUGUGGGUGAGCCUUUAAUAAUAGUGCAAAUCUGAUCAGGCAUCAGAGAAUCCACAGUGGGGACAGGCCCUAUCUCUGUACGGAGUAUGGAAAUGGCUUCCCCAGUAGUUCUGAGUUGGUUAUACACCAGAGAAUCCACACUGGGGAGAAACCAUAUGAGUGUAAUGAGUGUGGAAAAGCUUUCGGUGUUAAGUCAACAUUAAGUCGGCAUCAGAGAAUCCACAGCGGAAAGAAACCAUAUGAGUGUCUCCCGUGUGGGAAAACCUUUAGGACUUCCUCCCAGCUACAUCAUCAUGCGUGUGCUCACCCUAGAGAGAGGCCUGUCCUGGACCUCGGUUCCUUUGGCUUCCCAACAUUUUUUACCCCCUUUUCAUGGUAGUUCCUGCCCUGCUUUUUUGGAAGGCCACUUAGCCCUCACUCACCAGUUGAUGUGGUAGAUAGGUGCAAGGGUGGAACUUGUGGCCUAGUCUAGCCCGUCAAUACUGUUCCUUCACCCGGCCACAGUGAUGGGUGCAGGUGACCAGGUUCAUCCAGUCAGGGGCGAAAACUACCCUGGUUUUGUUGGACUUACUCUGCUGGACUCGGAUGUUAGCCUUGAGCCAUCAUGAAGGGUGAGAAGAGGCCAGCCCUGCAGGUAAGAGAGAAAUGAAGAGAACCAAAUCUACCUCUGGGUUUUUCAGUGACAUGAAUCAAUAAAUUUCAAUUUUUUGCUUAA